GAAACCCAGUGUGAUUCGUCACACUAUCAUUAACUGAAUCCAUAGGUUAAUGAGGCGAACCGGGGGAACUGAAACAUCUAAGUACCCCGAGGAAAAGAAAUCAACCGAGAUUCCCCCAGUAGCGGCGAGCGAACGGGGAGCAGCCCAGAGCCUGAAUCAGUGUGUGUGUUAGUGGAAGCGUCUGGAAAGGCGCGCGAUACAGGGUGACAGCCCCGUACACAAAAAUGCACAUGCUGUGAGCUCGAUGAGUAGGGCGGGACACGUGGUAUCCUGUCUGAAUAUGGGGGGACCAUCCUCCAAGGCUAAAUACUCCUGACUGACCGAUAGUGAACCAGUACCGUGAGGGAAAGGCGAAAAGAACCCCGGCGAGGGGAGUGAAAAAGAACCUGAAACCGUGUACGUACAAGCAGUGGGAGCACGCUUAGGCGUGUGACUGCGUACCUUUUGUAUAAUGGGUCAGCGACUUAUAUUCUGUAGCAAGGUUAACCGAAUAGGGGAGCCGAAGGGAAACCGAGUCUUAACUGGGCGUUAAGUUGCAGGGUAUAGACCCGAAACCCGGUGAUCUAGCCAUGGGCAGGUUGAAGGUUGGGUAACACUAACUGGAGGACCGAACCGACUAAUGUUGAAAAAUUAGCGGAUGACUUGUGGCUGGGGGUGAAAGGCCAAUCAAACCGGGAGAUAGCUGGUUCUCCCCGAAAGCUAUUUAGGUAGCGCCUCGUGAAUUCAUCUCCGGGGGUAGAGCACUGUUUCGGCAAGGGGGUCAUCCCGACUUACCAACCCGAUGCAAACUGCGAAUACCGGAGAAUGUUAUCACGGGAGACACACGGCGGGUGCUAACGUCCGUCGUGAAGAGGGAAACAACCCAGACCGCCAGCUAAGGUCCCAAAGUCAUGGUUAAGUGGGAAACGAUGUGGGAAGGCCCAGACAGCCAGGAUGUUGGCUUAGAAGCAGCCAUCAUUUAAAGAAAGCGUAAUAGCUCACUGGUCGAGUCGGCCUGCGCGGAAGAUGUAACGGGGCUAAACCAUGCACCGAAGCUGCGGCAGCGACGCUUAUGCGUUGUUGGGUAGGGGAGCGUUCUGUAAGCCUGCGAAGGUGUGCUGUGAGGCAUGCUGGAGGUAUCAGAAGUGCGAAUGCUGACAUAAGUAACGAUAAAGCGGGUGAAAAGCCCGCUCGCCGGAAGACCAAGGGUUCCUGUCCAACGUUAAUCGGGGCAGGGUGAGUCGACCCCUAAGGCGAGGCCGAAAGGCGUAGUCGAUGGGAAACAGGUUAAUAUUCCUGUACUUGGUGUUACUGCGAAGGGGGGACGGAGAAGGCUAUGUUGGCCGGGCGACGGUUGUCCCGGUUUAAGCGUGUAGGCUGGUUUUCCAGGCAAAUCCGGAAAAUCAAGGCUGAGGCGUGAUGACGAGGCACUACGGUGCUGAAGCAACAAAUGCCCUGCUUCCAGGAAAAGCCUCUAAGCAUCAGGUAACAUCAAAUCGUACCCCAAACCGACACAGGUGGUCAGGUAGAGAAUACCAAGGCGCUUGAGAGAACUCGGGUGAAGGAACUAGGCAAAAUGGUGCCGUAACUUCGGGAGAAGGCACGCUGAUAUGUAGGUGAAGUCCCUCGCGGAUGGAGCUGAAAUCAGUCGAAGAUACCAGCUGGCUGCAACUGUUUAUUAAAAACACAGCACUGUGCAAACACGAAAGUGGACGUAUACGGUGUGACGCCUGCCCGGUGCCGGAAGGUUAAUUGAUGGGGUUAGCGCAAGCGAAGCUCUUGAUCGAAGCCCCGGUAAACGGCGGCCGUAACUAUAACGGUCCUAAGGUAGCGAAAUUCCUUGUCGGGUAAGUUCCGACCUGCACGAAUGGCGUAAUGAUGGCCAGGCUGUCUCCACCCGAGACUCAGUGAAAUUGAACUCGCUGUGAAGAUGCAGUGUACCCGCGGCAAGACGGAAAGACCCCGUGAACCUUUACUAUAGCUUGACACUGAACAUUGAGCCUUGAUGUGUAGGAUAGGUGGGAGGCUUUGAAGUGUGGACGCCAGUCUGCAUGGAGCCGACCUUGAAAUACCACCCUU
rnacentral:rRNA from 1 species